UUCUAAAGACAAUGCCGAAUCUUGAACAACUGAUAUUGUGGUACGAUACACCA
rnacentral:sRNA from 1 species